rnacentral:lncRNA from 1 species
UUUCUAUUUCUGUUAUUCUGUUUUGAUUUAGUUUAAAUACUAAAUCAUUUUAUAAAAUCCUGAAAAUAUUUAUGGACACUGUCUGAAAUAUUUCAGUGGCCCAAAAAUAAUUCCAACAUUAUUUGAGCAUUUGAAUUAUUUAAUAGUAUUUAAAUGCCCAAAUUCAAAUAUUUAUGAAUUAAAUCAAUGCCCCUUUUGUUCACCUAAAAUUAUAUGCACCAUUUUUCCCAAGGGUUCUAACCCAAGGCAAAGAGGGUGAACAUAUUUGAAGGGCAUUUCAGGUUCAUUGAAUUUAUUUUUAGUAAACCCUAGUUGAUUUCAGGGGGGGGGUGCUGGGGGUUCUGCUUUCCCCAUUUCCAUUUCUGAUGAAAGUAAACAUGAUGCACACUCUAAUGCAUAACCUAGCUAGGGUGUGACAACUCACCCCCACUCAAUAGAAUCUCAUCCCGAGAUUUAGGAUCAUCUGGGAAGAAGGCGGGGUACUCGAGUCGAAGACGAUCCUCCCUUUCCCAAGUGGCUUCUUCCUCGGAAUGGUGUGACCAUUGAACCUUGAGAAACUUGAUAUUAUGACGUCGAGUGGUACGCUCGGCUUGAUCAAGGAUACGAACGGGGUAUUCCCGAUAAGAAAGGUUAUCUUGUAAAUCAAGCGUUUCGUGGUCCACUCCACGGAUAGGAUCCGCGAAGCAUCGCCUGAGUUGCGAAACGUGGAAGACAUCGUGAACUCUGGAAAGAUGCGGAGGUAGUUCCAAUUGGUAGGCAACUUCUCCUCGUUUGGCAAGAAUGCGAAAAGGUCCAAUGUAACGAGGAGCCAAUUUGCCUUUGAUACCGAAGCGAUGGGUUCCCUUUAACGGGGUAACCCGAAGGUAAGCUUUCUCGUCAAUUUCAAAUGUCAUAGGCUUAUGCUUACGAUCAUAUUGACUCUUUUGGCGAGAUUGGGCCGUUUUCAAUUUCUCACGAAUAACGCGAACCUGCUCUUCUGCUUCCUGAAUCAUAUCCGGGCCAAAGAGUUGUCUUUCCCCGGUUUCUGACCAGUUAAGAGGCGUUCGACAUUUUCGUCCAUAGUGAACUUCGAAGGGAGCCUUGCCCAAACUAGCUUGAUAGCUAUUGUUAUAGGCAAACUCCGCGAAUGGAAGGCAUUUCUCCCAACUCAUUCCGAACGAGAUAACAGAAGCUCGGAGCAUAUCUUCCAGAAUUUGAUUUACUCGCUCUACUUGACCACUUGAUUGAGGAUGGAAGGCGGUGCUAAAGGAGAGAUGAGUUCCCAUAGCAUUUUGGAAACUUUCCCAAAAUCGAGAGGUGAAGAGACUUCCACGGUCUGAGUUAAUUUCCAAUGGGACACCAUGAAGAGACACUAUUCGGGAGAUGUAUAGGUCAGCUAGCUGGCUAGCGGUGAUACUCUCACGAACAGGUAGAAAAUGGGCUACUUUGGAAAGACGGUCGAUCACGACGAAGAUGGCAUUAUUCCCCCUCUUGGUCCUGGGAAACCCAGUGAUGAAAUCCAUACUGAUUUUGUCCCAUUUCCAUUCAGGAAUAGCCAAAGGUUGAAGGGUGCCAGCAGGCCGUUGAUGCUCUGCUUUAACACGACGACAAACGUCGCAAUUAGCAAUGUAUUGAGCGAUUUCUCUCUUCAUCCUAGUCCACCAAAACCUCUGGCGUAGGUCUUGAUACAUUUUAGUACUACCGUGAUGAAUGGUGAGAGGGGAUUCAUGAGCUUCCUUAAGGAUCAUCUGGCGUAGAUGUUGGUUCUUGGGAACCACCAGGCGGUUCUCAAAGAAGACAGCACCUUGCUCAUCCAUGGAAAAAACAUUUAGCUACUCCGCUAGCAAUGUUUUCCUUAAUCCGGGAUAUGCCCUUAUCACGCUUUUGGGCAGCUAUGAUUUGAUCCAUAAGGGUAGGUUUCGCCACCAGGGUAGAUAGGAAUCCACGAGGAACAAUGUGAAGGUUAAGCUUACGAAAGUCCUCAUGGAGAAGUGGUUGACUUUGUUGUAACAUUAGGUUGUUACAGUAGGACUUACGACUUAGUGCAUCAGCCAUGACAUUGGCUUUGCCAGGGGUGUAAGUUAUUCCUAAGUCGUAAUCCGAGAUCAACUCGACCCAACGUCUUUGCGUGAGAUUCAAAUCUGGUUGGGUGAAGAUAUAUUUCAAGCUUUGGUGAUCGGUGAAGAUCUCGCAACGAUUACCGAGGAGGUAAUGUCGCCAGGUUUUGAGUGCAUGGACUACAGCUGCAAGCUCUAGAUCAUGUGUGGGAUAAUUUUCCUCCUGUGGGUGUAAUUGCCGUGAAGCAUAGGCAAUUACCUGACGAUCUUGCAUGAGUAUGCAACCUAGUCCUUGUCGCGAGGCGUCGCAAUAGAUAAUAAAGUCCUUAGAGAAAUCUGGUGGUACCAGUACGGGAGCAGAUGUCUGGCGUCUUUUCAGUUCCUGAAAACUGAACUCGCACUGCGGAGUCCACUCGAACUUUUUAUCUUUCUUGAGGAGUUCAGUUAGAGGUUUAGCAACCUUGGAGAAAUUCUCGACGAAGCGGCGGCAAUAGCUCGCUAGGCCAAGGAAACUCCGAACUUGCUUGACCGAAACAGGUGGAGUCCAAUCAAGGACGGCUUGAACUCGCUCGGGAUUGACAGCAAUACCCUUACCAGAGAUUACAUGGCCUAGAUAGGUUACUUCUGACAACCAAAAUUCACACUUGGAGAAUUUGGCAUAAAGGCGAUGCUCUUGAAGUUUCAUCAAUACCAGCCUUAGAUGUUCGGCAUGUUCCUCUUCAUUCUUGGAGUAGAUGAGUAUGUCAUCGAGGUAUACUACGACGAAUUUGUCCAAGUACUCCAUGAAAACCGAGUUCAUUAACCGGGAGAAAGUGGCCGGGGCAUUGGUUAAACCAAAGGACAUGACGGUGUACUCGUAUUGGCCAUAACGAGUAACAAAGGCCGUUUUGGGAAUGUCCCCGUUUCUGAUUUUGAUUUGAUGGUAGCCCAGCCUCAAAUCCAUCUUGGAGAAGACUGAGGAUCCAGCGAGCUGAUCAUACAGAUCAUUGAUCCUGGGAAGCGGGUAUUUGUUCUUGAUGGUGACCAGAUUGACAGGUCGGUAAUCCACAACCAUUCGAUCCGUUCCAUCCUUCUUCUUGACGAAGAGGAUGGGGCAAGCCCAAGGAGAGGAGCUAGGACGGAUGAACCCUUUGUUCAAGGACUCAUCGAGUUGGUUCUUAAGCUCGGCUAGUUCUAAGGGUGCCAUCUUGUAGGGUCUUCUAGCAAUUGGAAUGGUUCCUGGAACAAGGUCUAUCACAAACUCGACAUCCCGGUCAGGUGGAACACCUGGCAGUUCUUCCGGAAACACAUCCGGGAAGUCUCGGACUACCGGAACGUCCUCAAGGUCUGGAAGGGGGUUGGCAUUGAGAGAGUAAAGUUGGCGCUUGGCCACUCGAGUUAAGACAUUAACUGUCUUGCCCGAGGGUUGAGUAAGUUGAACGGUUCUAGUGGCACAAUCGAUCUUGGCGUAAUGAGCCGACAUCCAGUCCAUACCCAAGAUGAUGUUUAUGUCGGAGGACUUGAGAGCUAUUAAAGAUGCAAGGAAGACAAGCCUAUCGACAAGAAUUUCGUUCCCAUGGCUUACCCUAGAAGUUUGCCAUUUGGAACCCGGAGUUUGAAUUACCAUGGAAGUGGGCAUGUCACAGAAUGUCGUGUUAUGCAACCGAGCAUAAUUCUCGGAUAUGAAUGAAUGAGAUGCUCCAGUAUCGAAAAGAACAGAUGCCGGAUGGCAGUUAACAAGGAGCGUACCAAGGACGACGUUGGGAUCCUCAUGAGCCUCUUCGGCUGAAACAUAGUUGACAUGGCCACGUGCAGUAGUGGCCGGCUUGGCGUAGAAAGUCUUUCCCGCGGGCUUACCACGGCCAACGGACUUUCCAGCUUGAUUGGGAUUGUUCUGGGGACACUCUCGACUAUAGUGACCCGGUUCUCCACACUUGAAGCAUGUUACCACAGUGGGGCGUGGAGCAACAUUAGCAGCGGGGCCACCAUAGGGCUUGGACGGUGCAAUUUGCUGGUUGGGACGAGGCGCCUCAAAGGAUGGCCUCGGGGUGAAUCUGGGUGGCAGUGCGGUGCUUGGAAUCCACACCCGGCGCUUCUGAGCUCCAGAGCCGGAUGAAGACCCAAAAUCACGGGAGUGCUUGCGUGAAGCGUCAUAAUCAGUCUGGCCUGUCUCAGCACUGAUAGCUUUAUUGACCAGCUUCUGGAAGGAUGUGCAUUCGUGCAGACGGAGAUCGCGGCGAAGCUCAGGGCUAAGUCCCUUACGGAACCUUGCCUGCUUCUUGGCGUCAGUAGAAACCUCUUCAGGAGCAUAGCGUGCCAGGUUCCCAAAUUCUCGGCUAUAUGCAUCCACAGUCAACCUUCCUUGGGUGAAGUUGCAGAACUCCUCCCUCUUGCGAUCCAUGAGACGUUCCGGAAUGUGAUGCUCACGGAAAGCCUCGCUAAACUCAGCCCAGGUAGUGAUUUGGCCGACCGGGCGCAUAGCUUCGUAGUUUUCCCACCAAUGGCUAGCGGGGCCCUCAAGAUGAUAAGCAGCAUAGGUAACCUUGUCGGCUUCAGCUACGUUGGCAGAACGUAGCUUGUGGGUGAUGCUGCGAAGCCAAUCAUCCACGUCGAGGGGCUCGACGGAAUGGUUAAACUUUGGUGGGUACAGCUUGAUAAAGUCGUUGAUUGACACCAAGUCAUUUCGUGGGUGGCGUGCAGUGUUCUGCUCAAUCCGCUCCAGCAGGCGGUUGGUCUCACGCUUGUUCCUUUCCGCCUCUAGCAUUACUUCGGCCAGGGAAGGUGGGUGAGGCAAAUUUUCACCUCUAGCUGCAUUGGCUUCCCCCUGCUCCGGGGCAGCAGGGUUUCCGCGGGUGUUGACCAUCCUAGAAGGAAACAAGACAACGGUUUAGACAAGGAUGGCUCAUACUUAACAGGGAAGUGCAGAAUGUAAAGGAUAACGCGGAAUGCAGAGAUGCUCAUUCGUAUGCCAUGGUAAUAUAAAACUGCCAUAUAUACACCAACGGUCAUACUCGUCAUACAUAGUUUAGUACAAGCCCAUGCUACAGUACAACUAUGAAGGUAGACGUUACAUCUCAUCGGAGGCAUUCCGAGUCCCUAUACAUUAUUUGUCUACACCUCCGGAAUCGAUUACACACCAAGUCGUAUUCCACAAGUCACACAGGACAGUGGAGAUACAACUACUACAAUACUAGUGGUACUACUACUAACUCAGAUAGCUCCGUAGUAGUCCUCAUAGAAGUCACCUCCAUAGCCUGGAAGUUCAACGUGAUCAUCCGGAAACAGACGGUCCUGAGGAGCCUGUGGACCAUAGGGGCUAGGAUAAGGUCUUGGACCAACAAACGGUGGCCUGCGGGGACCAAGGGGUGGGGUGAUGCCUCCCACAUCACGCCAAUCCACCAUGUCUGGCAGAGCUGCUCUCACAGGAUACAGAUCCCUGGUAUCCAUACAUCCCGCUUGCACCGCGGGUGCAAACCGAGUCAAUGUGGCCCAAUGAUCAGCACGGGUAUUAAAGAGCUCCAGCCUCAAGGCCCGAUUCUCUCGGUCCUUAUCUUCGAGCAUCUCAGCGGUGGUACGAGUUAAUGAGUCCUCCUGAGUGGGGUCAGCAUAGAUAGCCUGAAGAUACCCCUGCGCUCCCGGAAGUGAAGCUGGCAUGUAACGGAAGUCAGUGUUCCGAAGCAGGCCAGUCCGGACUCGCAAGAUGGUCAUCAUGGAAUAGGCAGCAUCCUGCACAGCCAUCUCAAUGGUAACUCCGAGUCCAUAGGAACAGUGAAGGGGCUCGGUAGAUCCAGGAUAGGAAGGAAAUAUCCUGACGGUGCAUAAAUACUGGCUUUGAUUAAAGUCGCGGAACUGCUCUUCAAUAGUGUAUUCGGGAUACCAACGGUAUCCUGUCUCGAUCAUGACCCGGACCAACAUAGUAGUAUGACCGGGCACGUCGAGGCACCUGGUCAGGCGAACCACUUGAUUUUGAGACUGGUUGGCCAUCUGAAAGCACAGCCACAAGACAAAGACAUCAGAAUUCCUAGGGAAAAUUUGGGCAGCAUAACGGCUGUAAAUGCUCAGAAAAAGAUUUGAGACAUCCACAACAGUUCACAAUACCGCUCAACAGCAUCAUAUCAAGGUUCUGAUUCAAAUAGCCACGUACUAAAAUAGUAGAAACUGGACUGGAACUCGUAACAAUAAUCCUAUGAGCUACUACGGAUUAGUAACACGUGAACCUGAUAGAAGAAGAGAGCCUAGUCCUUAACCCACGUUGAAUGAGAAGAGAAUGACUCAGAUCAGAAGCAUAGGGUAAAGGAGUAAAAAGAACCUUACGUUCCCUCCCACAAUCAAUUCCCUUACAUAUAACUAAAGCAUUUCUAGACUCGACAUCGACCAGUUUGGCUGAACGAACCUACAGGCAGUCCGGCUCUGAUACCAACGCUGUCAGGACCCCGAUUCUAAGCCACAUCGAUCUAGCCGGUAACACCUCAUAUCACUUUGCGGCCUCACGCACGGUAUCCCACGGGUGUCGCCUUACCAUGGCCCGGGACCGUUUGCGCCUUUUGGCUCGCGUAUAUGACAAUGUCGCUAGCAUCCAUAUGACCGAUAACCCGGGCCGACAUGGCUAGUCGUGAACCCAAAGCGGCACAGACCUAUGGAGACAGGCAUACAUGAUUCACAACGAACAUGUCGGUCAUCAACGAGUGAUUCCGGGCUGUAGCACUGGGCUAACAGGACUCCGGGGAUCCCGGGCUGUAGCAGGCUAGACAGGACUCCGGAGAUCACCGCGUGACAUUUCCCCGAAGGGACAGACAUAGGGACGAAGUGAAACACAUGCCGGCCAGUCAAGUGUCCUGAACAGUAGUGCUGGGCUAGCAGGACUCCGGUGAACCGGGCUGUAGCGGACUACUAUGGCUCGAGGAGCACUAGACUACAUUUCCCCAUAAGAAAGGCUGCGAAGGACAAACAACUAGAUUGUCGGAUCCCACUCAUACCAAGCAUUUCAAUCAUACAUACAAUAUGCCCGAUAUGAGUACAUACAACAUGGCAUCACAACAAAACUCUACAACUCAAGUACUUAUUUAAAGGCUCCAGGGAGCCAUACAUAACAUAUCCAUAUAGGUAGGGGUCACAUGACCCGACACUCAAGUCAUAUAGUCAUACAAGCACAAGCGGAAGCAACUAGUCUGAGUACAGACUCUAGAAAGAAAGAAGGCUUCUCGAAGCCUGUCUAUCUACAUAGGGCCCUCCAUGGCCCGGAUCACCACCUGGGUGGCUAGUCACUCGUCGAUGUCAAGGUCUACGUAAAACCCAUCGGAGGGGGCAGUGUUGUCGUCUGAAAACAAUAAAUAAGCAAACAUGAGUACAAAGGUACUCAGCAAGUCUUACAUCAGAACCUACUGUACAUGCUCAUUCUCAAGAAGGUGGUGGGGUUUAUGCAGCAAGCCAGCUUUGACUCUUGGCUAAGCUAUCCUACGGAAUCUUUUAGCAAAAUAGUUUUCGCACACGAGUCCACUACUCACCAUCACAAUACUCCACCGUGGAUCCUCCCUCGUAUCCUGCGAGGGAGCCAUCCUUGGUACUCACACUUAUCUUGAGUCUUUUAGUAGUAUCCAUUAACUUGUCUAUGAACUGUAUAUGCAAUCAAGUAGUCCUUUACUGCGGACACAGCUAUUCGAAUAGUUUCCUACCCUGCAGGGGUGUACUUCGUCACACAUGUUUCCACCACUUAGCAUCUGCACACGAAAUGUGCUCGGCAGACUUCAAGCGAAAACCGACGUGGGUGUAGACCACGACCUGACUAACCUCACAAGUCUCUAGUCCAGGGUCAUCACCUAUUCAGGUUCCAUCCGCAAGGAAAUCCGGCCGGGGUGUCCUCAACGGCCCCGAACGAUGUGAACAGGGUUCCCGAGACACCAAACGGGUGACUCGGUACACCGUGCCACGGUGUAUCUACCGCAACAUAGCCCACCCCUAGGGUCAGCGCUACGCACGGCCGCCAACACAUAUCCUACAAACACCAGAAACUAGUUGCAACUCCUGGACUGAGGCGAGAGGGGUCAGUAAGUCGAGCGGGGUCAUAUUUCAGGGCCCAAUGUGUGGUAGUAGCUGAAUCUUAAUUCACGCAUACAGAACUCAGUUCUUAGGGACGGCUUCAAUGAAACAACCCACCAUGUACUCCUACAUGGCCUCUCAUCGAUACCUUUACCAAAACAUGUUCAACACAUCCCACAUAUUACUGGCACAAGCAUUUCACUCUAGCCCAUCACCCAGAUGAACCAGACCUGACACAACUCUAAGCAUAGCAGGCAUAGCAAGGUAGGAAUCACAAAACAUGGCUCAAUCAACUCCUACACAUGCUAGUGGGUUUCAUCUAGUUACUGUGGCAAUGACAGGUCAUGCAGAGGAUAAGGGUUCAACUACCGUAGCACACAGCAGUUUGAAUCGUGUUGUCUUAAUGCAGUAAACAAUAGCAGGAGCAAGAACAUGGGUUGUAUCGGAAUGAUCAAUGGUUGCUUGCCUGAUGGAGUGGUAACGGGAUACUGCCCUUCAGUUGGAUACUCGUGAAUAUCCUCGGAGGCAGAACCUACCACGAAGAACACAACCGAGCACAAUCAACACAUGACGAUAUGCAACAAUAUGAUGCAUGCUAUGACAUGGCAAUAUGGAUGUGUCUUGAGCUUAUGCAACUAGCUAUGAUUUAAAUGGAGUUGGUUUGAGUACAAGAUUCAAAUUCCAACCCCAUAUAUGAUUAUUUAAAUGCCCUUUAUUUGUUUUGUCCAAAACAGAGGACAAACAUUGUUCAAACAUGCAUGAAAAUGGUACAGAUGGAUUCCUUGAAUUUUUCUGAUAAUUUUUCAUAUAUAAUUUGUCUCAUUUGGAGUUAUGGUUGAAUUUCUAUGAUUUUUCAAAGUUUUGGGCAUUUUCUGGAAUUUCCUGAAUUAUUUUUAAACUAGAAAAUGAUUUACUGCGUCAGCACUACAUCAGCAAGUCAACUGAGCUGCCUCCAGGUCAAACCUGACCAGUGGGUCCCACUGGUCAGUGACUAAUUAACUAAUUAAAAUUAAUUAGAGCCUGGGCCCGCAUGUCAGUGUCUAUUUAACGUAAUUAAGUUAAUUAGGACUAACUAAAACUAAUACUAAUUAAAAAGGGGCCUGGCCCACACGUCAGUGACACAAGG